rnacentral:rRNA from 1 species
UACGAAGGGGGCUAGCGUUGUUCGGAAUCACUGGGCGUAAAGCGCACGCAGGCGGAUCGUUAAGUCAGGGGUGAAAUGCCGAGGCUCAACCUCGGAACUGCCUUUGAUACUGGCGAUCUUGGAGUCCGGGAGAGGUGAGUGGAACUCCGAGUGUAGAGGUGAAAUUCGUAGAUAUUCGGAAGAACACCAGUGGCGAAGGCGGCUCACUGGCCCGGUACUGACGCUCAGGUGCGAAAGCGUGGGGAGCAAACAGG